GGGGGCUGAGAACGUGGGCCGAAGACCCGAGGAAAUUUUUAAAUUUAGAGUCUCUGAAAUGCCAUUUCCUGGACUUUGGGGGAAGUUUUGACAGAAUUCUGAUGGUCAAAAAACAGCGUUUCAGUAUGUCGAAAUUUACAAUUUACUUACAAUUUAGUAGUACUAAAUGGGCGAAGGCGUAUUUAAUUAAGUAUAUAUUGGAGGAAAGUAUGGGUAGUAUGAUUCUUUGCAGUUUGUCAUGGAUAAUGUAGCCGCUUAAAAUUAAUCAAUUGUCAGUAUUUUAAAGGUAUAUUAUUUAAAUGAUAAAGGUCUGAAUGAUUUUCAAAAUGAAUGGUCAUUAGCAAAUUAUUGGGAGGGCUGCAGCCGCCCGGUUGCUACGGCCUUGAGAAGUAAUAAACCGAAAACGAUUUACGAUUUGUUAAAUGUUAUCCAUGUAAAUGCCAUGAUUUCGUAAAUCGGUUUAUACUGACAAUACAAUUAUAUUAUAUUUUCUCUGUUUAACAACUAAAAUUGUGUUAUACUAUUAUUGCCGUAAUUUUCCGAAUGGCCAAUCCGAUUUUCCGAAUAUGUUAAUUCCAAAAAAGUUGGGGGGUUAACCCCCAUAAUACCCCUCGCUACGGCCCUGAUCAUGAUGCCUCAUCUCGGGCAAAAAUUAAGUUGGUACCGGUUGAUGAACAUCAAGAAGAGUUUACUGAACGUUUGUUCAAGAACAUUUUAUGCAAUCCCACCUAAAGGCUCAAUUAUUUAAUUCCUGACACUAUUGAUCACAUUGAAUAUAAGUUUGGGGAACCGAAGAAUGCUUGAUAUUCCGCUUUCGAAUUCAACAUUUCUUAAAUCCUUUAUCUCUUAGUCUAGUAGUAAUAUAUAUAAUACAUUAUAGAAAAAACGUUUUAGCAGUUUGCAUGUGUAUUUUAAUAUCUCUUUUAACUUUUUAAUCUCACUUGUAUACAUACUUAUUUUUAAUACUUGUAAUUUUUCAUUGGUUGUAAUAACUCACGCAAUUCAGCUUAUAUAGCUACAGUAGCUGC